GCUGCUGUGAUAUGGCUGUGGUGCUGUGGUAUUGCAGCGCUAUGGCCUUGUGACUGGUGCUGUGGCUCUAAGAAGAGAGAAAGCCAAAGGACAGAAAGGAUGAAGAAGUAUGGCGGCGGACAGAGGAAAGGGAGAGAAGAGUGGAUGAAUUGGUAGGAUUUUGUGAAAGAAAUAAUAGUAGGGAAAUGAGCAGCUGAGAUCUUUUUAAAGAUGGACAGUGAGGAUCAAUUAUUUUGUAAAAGUAAAAAAAUCAAUCAUUAAUUGAGUUGAAUUUUCAAAGGAAAAAACGAAUUGAAUUUCCAAAUUAAUUUGAUUCGGUCGGUUUUUUUGUUUGAGCCAAAUUCUGCUCACUUCUAUGCAGAAUGUGGCAUCCUCAGUGUCAAUUUUUGAGCAAGCCAUGGCUUCUCUGGAUCAGGGUCAAUGAAACCAUGCACUAUAAAUUGUUGUGCUUCUUCAUCUUUCAGUUCUUUGGCCCACGCCACCCGUUUUGAUAAGUCACUACCUGGUCCAAAACACCUGUACUGACAAAAGCAAGCAGUUCCCUCAUUCUCAGCUUUGUCCCAGUUAUGCCAGCCUUCAGCGUUGAUACAUUGAUCCAUAUAUGUGUAUGCAUAGGCCACCCUUCCA
rnacentral:misc_RNA from 1 species